UACGGGGGGGGCAAGCGUUGUUCGGAAUUACUGGGCGUAAAGGGCUCGUAGGCGGCCAACUAAGUCAGACGUGAAAUCCCUCGGCUUAACCGGGGAACUGCGUCUGAUACUGGAUGGCUUGAGUUUGGGAGAGGGAUGCGGAAUUCCAGGUGUAGCGGUGAAAUGCGUAGAUAUCUGGAGGAACACCGGUGGCGAAGGCGGCAUCCUGGACCAAUACUGACGCUGAGGAGCGAAAGCGUGGGUAGCGAACAGG
rnacentral:rRNA from 1 species